rnacentral:rRNA from 1 species
UACGGAAGGCAGCAGUGGGGAAUAUUGCACAAUGGGCGCAAGCCUGAUGCAGCCAUGCCGCGUGUAUGAAGAAGGCCUUCGGGUUGUAAAGUACUUUCAGUCGUGAGGAAGGUGUUAAGGUUAAUAACCUUAGCAAUUGACGUUAGCGACAGAAGAAGCACCGGCUAACUCCGUGCCAGCAGCCGCGGUAAUACGGAGGGUGCGAGCGUUAAUCGGAAUUACUGGGCGUAAAGGGCACGCAGGCGGUUAAUUAAGUUGGAUGUGAAAUCCCCGGGCUUAACCUGGGAAUGGCAUUCAAGACUGGUUAGCUAGAGUCUUGUAGAGGGGGUAGAAUUCCAUGUGUAGCGGUGAAAUGCGUAGAGAUGUGGAGGAAUACCGGUGGCGAAGGCGGCCCCUGGCAAAGGACUGACGCUCAUGUGCGAAAGCGUGGGGAGGCAAACAGGGAUUAGAUACC